rnacentral:rRNA from 1 species
GAUGAACGCUGGCGGCGUGCCUAAUACAUGCAAGUCGAGCGAACAGACGAGGAGCUUGCUCCUCUGACGUUAGCGGCGGACGGGUGAGUAACACGUGGAUAACCUACCUAUAAGACUGGGAUAACUUCGGGAAACCGGAGCUAAUACCGGAUAACAUGUUGAACCGCAUGGUUCAACAGUGAAAGACGGUUUUGCUGUCACUCAUAGAUGGAUCCGCGUCGCAUUAGCUAGUUGGUAAGGUAACGGCUUACCAAGGCAACGAUGCGUAGCCGACCUGAGAGGGUGAUCGGCCACACUGGAACUGAGACACGGUCCAGACUCCUACGGGAGGCAGCAGUAGGGAAUCUUCCGCAAUGGGCGAAAGCCUGACGGAGCAACGCCGCGUGAGUGAAGAAGGUCUUCGGAUCGUAAAACUCUGUUAUUAGGGAAGAACAAAUGUGUAAGUAACUAUGCACGUCUUGACGGUACCUAAUCAGAAAGCCACGGCUAACUACGUG